rnacentral:lncRNA from 1 species
AUCAAUGUCGAAAAAAGCACCCACAUCUCUACAAUGGUGGAAGACCAGGACACUUAAUAUUUAGUAAGGAGAUUUAGGUUCAGGUCUUCUCUAAUUAGUCACAUAUAUCUGAUGUAAUGACUAAUCUGGUUUGAUUCAGCAUAUUUUAUGUCUGACCAAUUUAAUCAGCAUGGGUGAACUCGGGUCAACAAGUAACCUAAUACAAAAUAUAAUCUCCCAAAAUGGCCAGG